rnacentral:rRNA from 1 species
ACAACGGGUGGAGCUUGCGGUUUAAUUGGAUUCAACGCCGGAAAUCUUACCGGGACCGACAGCAAUAUGAAGGCCAGGCUGAAGACUUUGCCGGAUUAGCGGAGAGGUGGUGCAUGGCCGUCGUCAGUUCGUACUGUGAAGCAUCCUGUUAAGUCAGGCAACGAGCGAGACCCACGCCCACAGUUGCCAGCGUACUCUCUGGAGUGACGGGUACACUGUGGGACCGCCGCUGCUAAAGCGGAGGAAGGAAUGGGCAACGGUAGGUCAGUAUGCCCCGAAUAUCCCGGGCUACACGCGAGCUACAAUGGUUGGUACAAUGGGUAUCUACCCCGAAAGGGGACGGGAAUCUCCUAAAACCAAUCUUAGUUCGGAUUGAGGGCUGCAACUCGCCCUCAUGAAGCUGGAAUCCGUAGUAAUCGCGUUUCAACAGAACGCGGUGAAUACGUCCCUGCUCCUU